UUUCUGCCUUCCAAGGGUCAGAGCUCCCACCUGCAGAGCAUCCUUGAGCACCUGCAGUCUGGGCCAUUAAGCCUGAACUGGGCUUCUCAGUACCAGGAGGCUGUGGGUGCUCUGAGCUGGGGGGUCUCAGUCAGAUUUUAAACCCCCACAGUGGGUGAUGGGCUCUGCAUUUCCUUACCUGAGCCCUGUGCUUCAUGUUUCAGCCAUCUGAGCAGGGGAUGCUCAGUCCCCCAUGACAAUGGCUUCUAAACCAGGGCUUAGGGGGCAGGUCUUGCCCUCCUCCAUCAUGUGGGGAAGACAAGCUGGCUGGUGUCCCAGAGAGGGACCAAAAGCAGCAGACCCCCAUCAGAGUGUCUUGGGCUCAUCCUGAAGAAUGCUGAACCCAAACCAGACAAGAGAAAUUACUGCUUCAUGCCCUGGUGUGGGAAAAAGAGGACAGAGAGAUGCAGGCCACCACUUUUCUGGGGUUGGUGGGGCAUGGCUCACUUCUGGCAGGGUUGCUGUGUGUCCAUAGAGCAUCAUUCUGUCAUGGAAGGAGUCCCUGCCUCAUCAUCAGCCAGGACAUUCCCUCUGUCAGUGCCUGGCAGGAAUGCUGGAGGAGGCUGUGGGCAUCAAGCAGAAGCUGAACUGAGAGCCAGGAGUGGUUCCAUGGGAAGUGUGACCCUGGCAUCCUGCUGCCAGAGCUCUGACCCAGGACGAGCCAGUGUGAUGUGAUCCCCUUGGCUCAUCUCUGCACUCUUCAGACCUCUGGGUGCCAAAAUCAAGAGGCAAGAGGCCCUGGAGGAGCCUUUUCCUGGCACAGGCAGCACAGUGAGUGACCCUGCUGCAGGCACCGAGUGAGAAGGGGGAGUGAGUGAUGCUGGCAGUGGCACAUCUGGUGACAAAGCUGGCCAGCCAGAAGAGGU